rnacentral:lncRNA from 1 species
GCUUGCUCAUCAAGACAUCAUCGCAGAUAUACACACUUGCUUGAAUACUUCAUGCACACGUGCGUAAGUGCUGACACCCGAGGGUUCUGCACCCUCACGGCAAGAGCUCUCAUGGAGAAAUCUGUGUGAUUCACUUCAUGUGUGAAUGUUUCCAGUACCUCAGGUCUACAGCCUCCAGAAACUGUGUCUUCAAGUGGAGGAACAAACACUUAGAACAUGUGCCUGUGGAGGACAUUUCAGAUACAAAACAGUAC